rnacentral:rRNA from 1 species
UGGGGAAUAUUGCACAAUGGGGGAAACCCUGAUGCAGCGACGCCGCGUGAGGGAAGACGGUUUUCGGAUUGUAAACCUCUGUCUCUGGUGAAGAUAAUGACGGUAACCAGAGAGGAAGCCACGGCUAACUACGUGCCAGCAGCCGCGGUAAUACGUAGGUGGCAAGCGUUGUCCGGAAUUAUUGGGCGUAAAGGGUGCGUAGGCGGCAUGAUAAGUCUGAAGUAAAAGCCAAUGGCUCAACCAUUGUAAGCUUUGGAAACUGUCAAGCUAGAGUACAGGAGAGGUUAGUGGAAUUCCAUGUGUAGCGGUAAAAUGCGUAGAUAUAUGGAGGAACACCAGUGGCGAAGGCGGCUAACUGGCCUGUAACUGACGCUGAAGCACGAAAGCGUGGGGAGCAAAUA